rnacentral:rRNA from 1 species
GGAUAACCGUGGUAAUUCUAUGGCUAAUACAUGCGCAAGUAUCCUUUUUCGCAAGGAAGAGGAUAGUGUUUAUUAGAUACAGAACCAAUACACCAGUGUCACAGCUGGUGUGAAAAAGGUGAUUCAUAGUAACCGAACGGAUCGCAUUAUGGUCAUUCUUUUGUAAUGGCUGGCGAUAGAUCAUUCAAGUUUCUGACCUAUCAGCUUUCGACGGUAGUGUAUUGGACUACCGUGGCAGUGACGGGUAACGGGGAAUUAGGGUUCGAUUCCGGAGAGGGAGCCUGAGAAACGGCUACCACAUCUAAGGAAGGCAGCAGGCGCGCAAAUUACCCAAUCCUGACUCAGGGAGGUAGUGACAAGAAAUAACAACACUGGAAAUUUUAUUUCUAGUGAUUGGAAUGAUGGGAAUUUAAACCCCUUUCAGAGUAACAAUUGGAGGGCAAGUCUGGUGCCAGCAGCCGCGGUAAUUCCAGCUCCAAUAGCGUAUAUUAAAGUUGUUGCAGUUAAAAAGCUCGUAGUUGGAUGUCUGCUGGAAGCAAUCAGUCCGCCCUAUUUGUAGGGUGUGCACUUGAUGAAUUCUGGCAUUUUUGUCCCAAUGAUGUAACGGAGCGGUGGUAUUCGGUGAAAGCCGAGUAUCCCGUUUUCCGAUUAUUGGGAUACUGUUACUUUGAGAAAAUUAGAGUGUUUGAAGCAGGCUAAUUGCCUUGAAUACUGCAGCAUGGAAUAACAAUAUAGGAUUUCGGUUCUAUUUUGUUGGUUUCUAGGACUGAAUUAAUGAUUAAUAGGGACAGUUGGGGGCAUUCGUAUUUAACUGUCAGAGGUGAAAUUCUUAGAUUUGUUAAAGACGAACUACUGCGAAAGCAUUUGCC